UUUACGGAGAGUUUGAUCCUGGCUCAGGAUGAACGCUAGCGGUGUGCUUAAUGCAUGCAAGUCGAACGGGAUCCCAUGGAUUCGUCCAGGGUGAGAGUGGCGGACGGGUGAGUAACGCGUUGGUGACCUGCCUCGGAGAGGGGGACAACCAUUGGAAACGAUGGCUAAUACCCCGGAUGUUAUCGAGUUUAGAAAUCGAUAACUAAAGCUCUGGCGCUCCGAGAGGGGCCAGCGUCCCAUCAGCUUGUUGGUGAGGUAACGGCUCACCAAG
rnacentral:rRNA from 1 species